UAGGGAAUCUUCGGCAAUGGACGAAAGUCUGACCGAGCAACGCCGCGUGAGUGAAGAAGGUUUUCGGAUCGUAAAACUCUGUUGUUAGAGAAGAACAAGGACGUUAGUAACUGAACGUCCCCUGACGGUAUCUAACCAGAAAGCCACGGCUAACUACGUGCCAGCAGCCGCGGUAAUACGUAGGUGGCAAGCGUUGUCCGGAUUUAUUGGGCGUAAAGCGAGCGCAGGCGGUUUCUUAAGUCUGAUGUGAAAGCCCCCGGCUCAACCGGGGAGGGUCAUUGGAAACUGGGGGACUUGAGUGCAGAAGAGGAGAGUGGAAUUCCAUGUGUAGCGGUGAAAUGCGUAGAUAUAUGGAGGAACACCAGUGGCGAAGGCGGCUCUCUGGUCUGUAACUGACGCUGAGGCUCGAAAGCGGGGGGAGCAAACAGG
rnacentral:rRNA from 1 species